GAGUUCGCGGGAGAGUAAGUUAUUGCCAGGGUUUUUAUUUUAUACUUUAAACCUUGAAUUUAUUUUUUAAAUGUUUAUAUUAUUUGAAUAAAACAUUCAAAUAAUAUAAAAAAUAAUAUAUAUAUUGACAUGGAUUAAACAAAGAUAUAUAUUAUUUUAUGUUGUAUAAACAAAUUGGCAACAUAGAGAUGGAAGAUAAAAAUAUGGUCAACGUAAUAAGAGUCUAUGGUGAAUGCC
rnacentral:misc_RNA from 1 species